rnacentral:rRNA from 1 species
GAUGAACGCUGGCGGCGUGCUUAACACAUGCAAGUCGAACGAUGAAAGCGAGAGCUUGCUCUUGCUGGAUUAGUGGCGAACGGGUGAGUAACAAGUGAGCAAUCUGCCCCGAACUCUGGGAUAAGCGUUGGAAACGCCGUCUAGUACCGGAUACGACGCGCGAAGGCAUCUUCUGCGCGUGGAUAGCAUUUCGGUUCGGGAUGAGCUCGCGGCCGAUCAGCUAGUUGGUGAGGUAAUGGCUCACCAAGGCGUCGACGGGUAGCCGGCCUGAGAGGGUGACCGGCCACACUGGGACUGCGACACGGCCCAGACUCCUACGGGAGGCAGCAGUGGGGAAUAUUGCACAAUGGGCGAAAGCCUGAUGCAGCAACGCCGCGUGAGGGAUGACGGCCUUCGGGUUGUAAACCUCUUUUAGCAAGGAAGAAGCGAAAGUGACGGUACUUGCAGAAAAAGCGCCGGCUAACUACGUGCCAGCAGCCGCCGCAGUAA